rnacentral:rRNA from 1 species
GAUGAACGCUGGCGGCGUGCCUAAUACAUGCAAGUCGAGCGAACAGACGAGGAGCUUGCUCCUCUGACGUUAGCGGCGGACGGGUGAGUGACACGUGGAUAACCUACCUAUAAGACUGGGAUAACUUCGGGAAACCGGAGCUAAUAACGGAUCAUAUAUUGAACCGCAUGGUUCAAUAGUGAAAGACGGUUUUGCUGUCACUUAUAGAUGGAUCCGCGCCGCAUUAGCUAGUUGGUAAGGUAACGGCUUACCAAGGCAACGAUGCGUAGCAGACCUGAGAGGGUGAUCGGCCACACUGGAACUGAGACACGGUCCAGACUCCUACGGGAGGCAGCAGUAGGGAAUCUUCCGCAAUGGGCGAAAGCUUGACGGAGCAACGCCGCGUGAGUGAUGAAGGUCUUCGGAUCGUAAAACUCUGUUAUUAGGGAAGAACAAAUGUGUAAGUAACUAUGCACGUCUUGACGGUACCUAAUCAGAAAGCCACGGCUAACUACGUG